AUUGGUUGAAAGCAACUAUCAAAGUCUGCUAUCAAGUUAACUCUUCUUUACAGUAUGGUAUAGCAACCUCAGAAAAUACUAUAAACUAAGCUGCAUUCAUAUAUCAAUUAUAUUUAAUUAGCUAGCUUUUUCAAAGAUCACCUUCAGUAAUUGAUUGGCUGAUUUACUGAGUGCUUUUGAGAAUUUUCUUGGAGCAACUGAGCCCAAAGCAAUGGUAUUUUUCUCUGUGGGUUUCAAAUAUGAACUCCAGCUUCCUCCCACAUUCAGACGACAUACAUGUUAUGUUCAUUGAACACAAAUGGUCCAUUGUUGUGAAUAUGAAUGAAUUGCUGUAUGUUGCUGCAAUUGAUGGGUGACCAUUCCAGGGCCUGCUGGAUAUUAUAUUUUUGUCAAUGCUUUAAACGUCACUUGAGUAAUAUUUCACAACUUUUGAGCAAUUAGCUCAUUCAUGCACCUCCUGACUGAAAGAUAAUGAGCUAUUUUGAAAUGUGUUUAUAACGCAAAAUGUCCUGUGACGAGCUAUUUACAUAUAAUACAUGCUAUAUAAUACAUAUAAUGAGCUAUUUUCUAAUGUGUUUAUAAAACAUAAUGUCCUGUGACCGUAGUGAGGAUAAGCGGUUAAGACCUUAAAUAAAUGAAUGAACGCAAUUUAAGGGUCAUAGCUCUCGAAUGGACAGAUCCCCACACUUUGUGGACAAAGGCAGAUAGAUAAAAAGAGAAGGAAUCCAGAGAAGCAGGUUAUUGAAUGUGUACUGUACGUCAUUGCUGUUUGUUCAGUAAUCUUGAUCGCAUGAUCUUUAACUUCUUACACGAACUGUGAAAACUACAUUGUACUUCACUCAGUCAGUUGGGCUCGGCUCCAGUUCAUCCGUGACUCUAUCGGUAUAAAAAUAGAUGAAGGAAUUAGUUUGUGGUCCACAGAACAAUAUGAUGGCAACGCCCAUAGUUGAUGUCAUAAGUAUGGGUGUUGUUUUCCUUUUGUUAAAUGUUGUUAAGGCAGUUUCUGUUGAAAACGCCAAAAUGAGAUCAGUCUUGUGCAAAUUCACGACACAAAAAUGGAAUGACUAAACCUUCUCCAAAUCUACACCUGUGCCAUUCAGAAAUCAAAUAAAAUGUCAUUAUUGUUGGUUUAACUGACCUUCUAAACUGGAU